GGGGCGGUAGCACAGUGGUAGUUGCGGCAGGUUGCAAUUUCGCAAGGUCCCUGUAGGUCACCAGUUCAAUCCUGGUUCGCCCCU